rnacentral:rRNA from 1 species
AUUGAACGCUGGCGGCAGGCCUAACACAUGCAAGUCGAACGAGUGGCGGACGGGUGAGUAAUGUCUGGGAAACUGCCCGAUGGAGGGGGAUAACUACUGGAAACGGUAGCUAAUACCGCAUACCAUCGGAUGUGCCCAGAUGGGAUGAGCUAGUCGGUGGGUUAACGGCUCACCUAGGCGACGAUCCCUAGCUGGUCUGAGAGGAUGACCAGCCACACGGGGACUGAGACACGGUCCAGACUCCUACGGGAGGCAGCAGGGGGGAAUAUUGCACAAUGGGCGCAAGCUUGAUGGAGCCAUGGCGCGUGUAUGAAGAAGGCCUUCGGGUUGUAAAGUACGUUCAGCGAGGAGGCGUUACUCGCAGAAGAAGCACCGGCUAACUCCGUGCCAGCAGCCGCGGUAAUUC